UUGCUGUAACAGACUACACUAUUGGCAUUCGUAUCAGUACAAUAAAGUUGGUCUCCGAAUACGGCAAUACGACUCAAACUUUUUGAAACUUUUGGAACUGAAUGUUUUAUAUUAAGGUCAAAAUCUAACGCAAGAACAGAAUUUGGAUGAACUAUAACAUACAUAAUUUGUUCAUAGGUGCAACGUCCACAGCACCUGCCAUUUACAUCUUUUUCUCACUAUCUUGUUUCUGUCUACAUCAAUAAUGAAAAUUUGUCGCUCGUCACAAGUGUAACAGCAACUUCUCUUUGUCUGACAUAACAGAUAUCAGAUGGCAUAUUUUUGAAAGUCAUUAUUUCUUUUACAAAUACACCAGAAUUAUUGAACAAUAAAAUAGACUUGUUUACUUGGUCUACGAACACAACAUCGCAGUUUGGUAAUAUCUGACAUCCAGUUAUGCUCCCUGGGUGUUUCUGCAUUUUUAAUGUUUGCUUUAUUACUAGUUUGACCAUGCUUAGAACUGGGUUUCUAAUGAACUUGACUUUCCCCUACUGCUUUCAGUUGUAAAUGUUCAGGUGAUAAGUCAAUCGACAAUUUUCCUAACGCUGUUGUACCUCUUACAGUUGACUCUAGAUCAAAGAAGUCGAAAAUCAUAUUCUUCUCACGAAGAUUGUCUGCAGAUCUUUCAUUCGGGUUGUGAGUCCCGGAUCAUCACGGUCGUGUUUUUUGUAGCACCGCACUAUACUUAUUUAUUGUUCAUUUUCAC
rnacentral:lncRNA from 1 species